GAUGAAGAACGUAGCGAAAUGCGAUAAGUAGUGUGAAUUGCAGAAUUCAGUGAAUCAUCGAAUCUUUGAACGCACAUUGCGCCCGUCAGUAUUCUGGCGGGCAUGCCUGUUCGAGCGUCAUUACGCCCCUCAAGUCCCCUGUGGACUUGGUGUUGGGGAUCGGCGAGGCUGGUUUUCCAGCACAGCCGUCCCUUAAAUUAAUUGGCGGUCUCGCCGUGGCCCUCCUCUGCGCAGUAGUAAAACACUCGCAACAGGAGCCCGGCGCGGUCCACUGCCGUAAAACCCCCCAACUUUUUAUAGUUGACCUCGAAUCAGGUAGGACUACCCGCUGAACUUAAGCAUAUCAAUAAGCGGAGG
rnacentral:misc_RNA from 1 species